rnacentral:tRNA from 1 species
GGGCUUUUAGCUCAGUUGGUUAGAGCAGCGGACUCAUAAUCCGUAGGUCCGGGGUUCAAGUCCCUGAAGGCCCA